rnacentral:rRNA from 1 species
AUUGAACGCUAGCGGCAUGCUUAACACAUGCAAGUCGAACGGAGUGGCGGACGGGUGAGUAAUGUAUCGGAACGUGCCUAGUAGCGGGGGAUAACUACUCGAAAGAGUGGCUAAUACCGCAUACUAUUGGAGCGGCCGAUAUGGGAUUAGCUAGUUGGUGGGGUAAAGGCUCACCAAGGCGACGAUCCGUAGCUGGUCUGAGAGGACGACCAGCCACACUGGGACUGAGACACGGCCCAGACUCCUACGGGAGGCAGCAGUGGGGAAUUUUGGACAAUGGGGGCAAGCCUGAUCCAGCCAUGCCGCGUGGAUGAAGAAGGCCUUCGGGUUGUAAAGUACUUUUGGCAGAGAAGCGGUAUCUGCAGAAUAAGCACCGGCUAACUACGUGCCAGCAGCCGCGGUAAUUC